rnacentral:piRNA from 1 species
AGGAUUUGAAGGGAUGAGGAAUGU